UACGUAGGCAGCGAGCGUUGUUCGGAGUUACUGGGCGUAAAGCGUGCGUAGGCGGUGUCUUAAGUUUGUUGUGAAAUCUCCCGGCUUAACCGGGAGGGUGCGGCGAAUACUGAGAUGCUGGAGUGCCGGAGAGGUAAGCGGAAUUCCUGGUGUAGCGGUGAAAUGCGUAGAUAUCAGGAGGAACACCGGUGGUGUAAACGGCUUUCUGGACCAUAACUGACGCUGAGGCACGAAAGCGUGGGUAGCAAACAGG
rnacentral:rRNA from 1 species